rnacentral:rRNA from 1 species
UACGAAGGGGGCUAGCGUUGUUCGGAAUCACUGGGCGUAAAGGGCGCGUAGGCGGCUUUGUAAGUCGGGGGUGAAAGCCUGUGGCUCAACCACAGAAUUGCCUUCGAUACUGCAUGGCUUGAGACCGGAAGAGGUAAGUGGAACUGCGAAUGUAGAGGUGAAAUUCGUAGAUAUUCGCAAGAACACCAGUGGCGAAGGCGGCUUACUGGUCCGGUUCUGACGCUGAGGCGCGAAAGCGUGGGGAGCAAACAGG